rnacentral:lncRNA from 1 species
UGGGGUUUAUGGCUGUAAGUCGAAAGCAAUGUCGCUUAUGAGGUUCUGUCAUAUGCAUAUAUUAUCAGAUUUCAAGCCGAAGCUGUACAAGGCUUGCAGUUUUGCCAUCAAAAGGUAUUUUCUUUUCUUCACAUUUCAUACAUUUAUGUCUUAGUAUUUUGCACAGUUCUAAGCUUUAUGAGGAAAUAUAACUUUUCGUAAAUUUUUGUCUAAAAGAUGCGUCCUUUCUGAAUUGUUGCUGAAGCAGAAUGUAUAUGCCUGCGCCCAAUUUGCUUUAUUGUUUGGUAUACAACUGGUUAUUUUGCUAACGUAUAAAAAAAAGGUCUCAUCCUUUUUCCUCAAAAGGAACUUUGCCAAUUAACUUCAAGUUCUUGUUGUUCUUUUUUCAUUUUCCUAUUUUGUUAAGGUUCUUUAGUUUUUCUCGAGUCUUUUGUGAAGAUUUCCUGAUACAUUUUACCCUUGUGCAAAGAUUGCUCUUGCACCUAGCAAGAAGAACAUGUGUGUAUGUGUGAGAGUAUGGUUCUGGAAGGCUAUAAGCUAAAGUAAAAGCAGUAUAAGUGGUUGGAUUCACUUAUGUUCUGAUUGCCUUUACGAGUAAGAUUAGGUCGUAUGGUGGGUGUAUAUCAUUUUAAUGUUUUAUGAUCAUUGGACUUCACUUCCCAAGCAACUACGCUUUAUUUUGAAUUGUACCCUAUAAUUGUUAACUUUCUAACCUCAUGGUAUAGUGCCUGUGGGAUCUAGUUUUGAUUCCUACCGUUUAUCUUUUCUUGCUCUUCAGAAUUACGUAACUACCUUCUUGCUAUUCAUUUUUUUCCAGCCCAUUUACGCUUAAACAUUCCCCAAGAUAUUAACCAUCAACAUUUCCCACUAGGCUUCUCUGUAGGACUUCGUUUUGUGUGUUUGAGGUGUCAUUAAUGUAGAUAAUUUCGUUUGCCUUCAUUAAAGUAGUUGUUGUAGGACUUUUUUAUUGUAGCUAUUGUGCGAGGUGCAGUGGAGCAGAAGUAAAAGUGGCCAUCUGGGUUGCACGAUCCCAAAUCUAGCAAUAACUUCUCUACUGUCAAGUUAAAGAUGUCGUUUAAUGCAUGUGACGUAUAAGAAUUUAAAGGAUUUUACUGUUAUCCAGCUAAAUCAGAGGCCGAGUAUUCUGUUGUGGCUAGACGAGACAAAUGUUGUGGCUAGACAUAGGUGUAUUCUCGAGUGCUGAUAUAUUCAUAAAUCUACGGCUUAUUUUGGAGUGCUGAUACAACUAUAGUGCACAGUUUGAACCUCCUAUUCUUAUGUUAAUUGUUCUUUAUGCAUAUUGUAGGAAGACGAACGGAUAGGAACAAAUCGGCUUGCACUACUGAAGAAAAUAACAGACUUGCCAAGGGGAUAACUAUAAUAAUAGCCAAUGCAGGAGAUUCCCGAAUAGGGCAACCUUUCGAACUGCUGCUGAAUCCAUGGGCAGGCAAGAGACAACCUGGCGAAAGAGGAAUUUCUUAGAGGGGAUAACUAUAAUAAUAGCCAAUGCAGGGAGAGGAAUUUCUUAGCUCAUCAACCAAUUUUGCUGGAUCGGGUCUCCAAAUCUUUCAGAGGAGAAGUAGUGAACAGGUGCACUCAACUGAUGCCAUUGUUAUCUUCCUUUGUCUACAUUUCGACUGUCUUUAGUUCUCAUCCUUAAAACAUAAAAGGGUUUAUUUCUUUUUUGUGGAGCUUGUUAAUGAUCUUUGGUGAUAAGUUAAUUUCUUGAUGGUGGAGUUGUUAAUACUAUUUAGUGCUAAUGCAUUUUGUUUCAAUUUGGUAGUAAAUUAACAGAUAAGAUAGCUGCUACUUUCUCUAGGUCUCUUGGAGUUUCAACUGAUUUUACAACAUACCUGCUACAUGAAGAUUUAUAUUUUUUAUAUAUCGAUAUACAGAGGCUUCAAAUUAUGGGAACUAUAGUCCUUCUACCUCGUGCCUCACCUUGCAAAGAUCAUGCAUCUUUUCCUU